GAUGAACGCUGGCGGCGUGCCUAACACAUGCAAGUCGAACGGAGUCGUUUUGGAAAUCUCUUCGGAGAUGGAAUUCUCGACUUAGUGGCGGACGGGUGAGUAACGCGUGAGCAAUCUGCCUUUAAGAGGGGGAUAACAGUCGGAAACGGCUGCUAAUACCGCAUAAAGCAUUAAAUUCGCAUGUUUUUGAUGCCAAAGGAGCAAUCCGCUUUUAGAUGAGCUCGCGUCUGAUUAGCUAGUUGGCGGGGUAACGGCCCACCAAGGCGACGAUCAGUAGCCGGACUGAGAGGUUGAACGGCCACAUUGGGACUGAGACACGGCCCAGACUCCUACGGGAGGCAGCAGUGGGGAAUAUUGCGCAAUGGGGGAAACACUGACGCAGCAACGCCGCGUGAUGGAAGAAGGCCUUCGGGUUGUAAAGAUCUUUAAUCAGGGACGAAACAAAUGACGGUACCUGAAGAAUAAGCGCCGGCUAACUACGUG
rnacentral:rRNA from 1 species